rnacentral:rRNA from 1 species
CGUGCUUAACACAUGCAAGUUGAACGAGAGGCAGUAGCAAUACUAUAGUAAAGUAGCAGACGGGUGAGUAACGCGUGGGAACCUUCCAUUUAGUAUAGAAUAGCCCAGGGAAACUUGGAUUAAUACUGUAUACGCCCUACGGGGGAAAGAUUUAUCGCUAAAUGAUGGGCCCGCGUAAGAUUAGGUAGUUGGUGGGGUAAUGGCCUACCAAGCCUACGAUCUUUAGCUGGUCUGAGAGGAUGAUCAGCCACACUGGGACUGGGACACGGCCCAGACUCCUACGGGAGGCAGCAGUGGGGAAUAUUGGACAAUGGGCGCAAGCCUGAACCAGCAACGCCGCGUGAAUGAUGAAGGCCUUAGGGUCGUAAAGUUCUUUUAGCAGGGAAGAAAAUGACGGUACCUGCAGAAUAAGCACCGGCUAACUUCGUGCCAGCCGCCGCAGUAA